rnacentral:rRNA from 1 species
UACGGAGGAGGCAAGCGUUAUCCGGAAUUAUUGGGCGUAAAGCGUCCGUAGGUGGUUUAGUAAGUCUGCUGUUAAAGCGCGGGGCUUAACUCCGUAUCGGCAGUGGAAACUACUAGACUAGAGUGUGGUAGGGGUAGAGGGAAUUCCCAGUGUAGCGGUGAAAUGCGUAGAUAUUGGGAAGAACACCGGCGGCGAAGGCGCUCUACUGGGCCAUAACUGACACUGAUGGACGAAAGCUAGGGGAGCGAACAGG